rnacentral:rRNA from 1 species
CCUACGGGAGGCUGCAGUGGGGGAUAUUGCACAAUGGGGGGAACCCUGAUGCAGCGACGCCGCGUGGAUGAAGAAGCGCCUCGGCGCGUAAAGCCCUUUCAGCAGGGGAGAAAAUGACGGUACCUGAAGAAGAAGCCCCGGCUAACUACGUGCCAGCAGCCGCGGUAAUACGUAGGGUGCCAGCGUUAUCCGGAUGUACUGGGUGUAAGGGGGGCGCAGACGGCGGUGCAAGUCAGGAGUGAAAGCCCGGGGCCCAACCCCGGGACUGCGCUUGGAACUGCGAGGCUGGAGUGCAGGAGGGGUAGGCGGAAUUCGUGGUGUAGCGGUGAAAUGCGUAGAUAUCAGGAGGAACACCGGUGGCGAAGGCAGCUCGCUGGACUGCAACUGACGUUGAGGCCCGAAAGUGUGGGUAGCAAACAGGAUUAGAUACCCCUGUAGUC